ensembl:lncRNA
AUAUUCUCUCUCUGAGUUUCUAAGGUUCCAUUUAUGGUUCAUUUUGUUUUCGGUUGAUCUGUGAAGUGUAAUUCGGCAAGCUCACGCUGAGGAAUUCUGAGAUGGUGUAUUCCUGUCGGAAGCCUCUUUACAAUAGCAGAGGUUCCUGUGUCAUUGGAAUGUGAGCAGACAAGAUUCAGAGGGGGCUAGUCAAGGCUCCUAAUCCACUCAAAGGGCAGGUGCAGAGCCAGGAACAAUCAGCAAUUAAUUACCAAGAGAUAAACGUGCAGAAGGAGAAAAUGACCGUCACUCACCUUCAUCAAGAAGAGGCCAUUGUGCUGGGUAGGAUCAGCAUCCAACCACUUGACGGGAAAGACUGUGAAGAGGUUAGCCACCACCAGGAGGCAGGAGGGAGCUGGUCCUGGAAAUCAGCAGAAAGGAGACAGGUUGUGGGACUCUUCUCCCCUCAGGGCGUGUGGGAAGAUGGCAGUCAUAGGUACCUCAUUCCCAGGACUGGCCUGUCCUUAUCUUCUUCAAAAUCAGAGUUCUCCCCUGAGAGCAGGCGCUGUGGCUUAGUCCCCUGGCUUUUGCGGCUGUGGGAGCUUCCUUGUUCCUUUCCUGUGUUUUCUAAACAGAGGUCAGUGUACCCUUUCCUGCUAGAAAGCAGAGAAGUGAGGCAGCAUUGCUCAAGCUUCUGGACCUCAGGAACCCAUUAUACCAGUGGUUCUCAACCUUCUUAAAACUGCAACGCUUUAAUACAGUUCCUCAUGUUGUGGUGAUCCCGACCAUAAAUUAUUUUAAUUGCUACUGUAUUUUUGCUGCUGUUAUGAAUCUUAAUGUAAAUAUCUGUUUUCUGAUGGUCCUAGGUGAACCCCAUGAAAGGGUCAUUCGGUAAGGGCCGCGACCCACAGAUUGAGAACCACUGCUUCAUGCUCAAAACAUCACAGAGAAGGACCUCAGAGAGGAUUGCCUGCCUAUGUGGGUUGUACCUCUCAACGUUUGCCAGCUUAUGAGUGAAAACUGAGAAUCCAGAAGAUAGUUACUUCUUACAAUAAUGCAUGCGGGUUUAUUUAGAAAAAUACAGUUUAUGAAACAAAAAAAUGCACCGCCAACUGGGGACCAAGCAUCCGGUACAUGAGCCUGUGGGGAAUGUUUCAAAUUCAGCUCAUAGAGGAACCACUUUGCAGGUUCUCAUCAAUCCAAAAGUAUUCCAAAGACAGUGUCCCCAUCAUCUCCCCAUCCCCAGGCCCACUCAGUGCAGAACACACUGGUCUUCAUUAAGAGGAAGUGCACGACGCAGAGCUGAGCCUGGCAGUGCUUGGGAACAGGACAAGUGGAUCCAGCUCAAUAUGAACUUGGACUUGGCAUCAAGACAGCAUCUCAAAGGGACACAAGUUAGAGAGCUUGCUUUCUGGUUAAUUUUUCUCUCUGGGCAACAACGCUGAGUGAGCAUUAAUUAUCUGAGCAAAUUCCUAGUAAUACUGGUUCCUGGGCCACCUUGGAUCAACUAGGGGCCAGAAUUGGACUUUUAAAGCCCUCAGCUAUUCUGACACCCCCAAGUCAGGGAGCCUGCAGCCUAAUCUUUUUUGAGCUGUCAACUCAACUACAGCCUUUUGUUCUUGGACAUUAUGGGGUCACCUGAGCCACACAUGUAAAAACUUGAAUUUCUGAAGCUGGACAGAUGACUCAGUGGUUAAAGAGCAUAUACUGCUCUUGUGAGGACCCAAGUUUGGUUCCCAGCACCCAUGCUGAGCAGCUCACAGCUGCCUGUAACUCCAGCUCCAGGGGACCUCACACACUCUGAUACUUGAAUGGACAUACUCCAUAUACACAAUUUAAAAUAAAAUGAAUCUUUAAAUAAAUUUUUUAAAAACCCUGAAUUUCCUAAAGUAACUUGAGAGCCCAAUACCUAGAAAUUAGGUAGGUGGGGAUCUCCCUUCCCUGCAGACAGAGUUCACUAUGUAGCUUUGGCUGUUCUGGAACUCACAAUGUAGACCAGGCUGGCUUUGAACUCAGAGAUCCAUCUGUCUUUGCUUCCUGAGUCCUAGGAUUAAAGGCAAGUGCCACUACACCUGGCUAGGUGGGUGUUUUUAAGCAAUUAAUUCUGUUAUAGAGGUCUGAGAGCCCCUUAUGUCCCAAGGGCUACUAUCGCCUGUUGUCUGUUUCCAAGUUACUCCAGAGUCAUAUCCGGAAUCAGCACCAUCUCAGCCUUAACUCCUUUGUCCUCCACACACUCUGAAUCAGAAUCAGUCAUAAGAUUAGUGUACACUUACCUCUAGGAAGAGCCCGAUUACAGAUGAAACAGGUAAAAACAGAAGAGACGAAGGACUCGGCCUUCACACACAGCUCCACAUCCGUGCUCUCCCUGCUCAGCCUUGCACACAGCACACAGCUCCACAUCCAUGCUCUCCCCUGUUUGUCCAGGACACUUUCUCCCAUCAUCACAGAAGAACCCCAUCCUUGGCCCAGGUCUGAGUGACCACUGCCCACAGAUCUCUCACAGGACUUCAGGAUCCUGGCUUCAGGGAAGAGCCCAUGAGGCCCUAGGAUAUGUUCU